rnacentral:rRNA from 1 species
CCCAGACUCCUACGGGAGGCAGCAGUGGGGGAUAUUGCACAAUGGGGGGAACCCUGAUGCAGCGACGCCGCGUGGGCGAUGGAGUGCUUCGGCAUGUAAAGCCCUAUCAGCAGGGAAGAAAAUGACGGUACCUGACUAAGAAGCCCCGGCUAACUACGUGCCAGCAGCCGCGGUAAUACGUAGGGGGCAAGCGUUAUCCGGAUUUACUGGGUGUAAAGGGAGCGUAGACGGCAUGGCAAGUCAGAUGUGAAAGCCCGGGGCUCAACCCCGGGACUGCAUUUGAAACUGUCAGGCUGGAGUGCAGGAGAGGUAAGUGGAAUUCCUAGUGUAGCGGUGAAAUGCGUAGAUAUUAGGAGGAACACCAGUGGCGAAGGCGGCCUGCUGGACAGUAACUGACGUUGAGGCUCGAAAGCGUGGGGAGCAAACAGGAUUAGAUACCCGGGUA